rnacentral:rRNA from 1 species
GGAGCAGGCGGCACUAAGGGUCUGUGGUGAAAGAUCGAAGCUUAACUUCGGUAAGCCAUGGAAACCGUAGAGCUAGAGUGUGUGAGAGGAUCGUGGAAUUCCACGUGUAGCGGUGAAAUGCGUAGAUAUAUGGAGGAACACCAGUGGCGAAGGCGACGAUCUGGCGCAUAACUGACGCUCAGUCCCGAAAGCGUGGGAGCAAAUA